GGUCUGCAGUCUUGGGACCGCGCUGGGUUGGUGGUACCCAAGAGCACACCAGACUUGCAGAAAAAGCAUACUCCGGAGGAAGCUGAGGCAUGCCUGCUCCAGAGCCAGCGGUUCCAUGUGCAAUUUUCCUCUGAUAGUUCCUGAAUACUGUUGCCACGGUGAUAAUGACCUCCGUGUCAUUAUCUAUCCACCAACAGUAAGAGAAGCUUUGCAGUCGCGAUAUUGUUUGGCAGACAGAGUGGUUUCUGUUGGACACUAAGUACUGCUACAAAU
ensembl:scaRNA small Cajal body-specific RNA 13